GAUGAACGCUGGCGGCGUGCCUAAUACAUGCAAGUCGAGCGAACAGAUAAGGAGCUUGCUCCUUUGACGUUAGCGGCGGACGGGUGAGUAACACGUGGAUAACCUACCUAUAAGACUGGGAUAACUUCGGGAAACCGGAGCUAAUACCGGAUAACAUAUUGAGCCGCAUGGUUCAAUAGUGAAAGGCGGCUUUGCUGUCACUUAUAGAUGGAUCCGCGCCGUAUUAGCUAGUUGGUAAGGUAACGGCUUACCAAGGCAACGAUACGUAGCCGACCUGAGAGGGUGAUCGGCCACACUGGAACUGAGACACGGUCCAGACUCCUACGGGAGGCAGCAGUAGGGAAUCUUCCGCAAUGGGCGAAAGCCUGACGGAGCAACGCCGCGUGAGUGAUGAAGGUCUUCGGAUCGUAAAACUCUGUUAUCAGGGAAGAACAAAUGUGUAAGUAACUGUGCACAUCUUGACGGUACCUGAUCAGAAAGCCACGGCUAACUACGUG
rnacentral:rRNA from 1 species